GCGAAGGUGGCGGAAUUGGUAGACGCGCUAGCUUCAGGUGUUAGUGUCCUUACGGACGUGGGGGUUCAAGUCCCCCCCCUCGCACAA
rnacentral:tRNA from 2 species